rnacentral:rRNA from 1 species
GUGGGGAAUUUUCCGCAAUGGGCGCAAGCCUGACGGAGCGACGCCGCGUAUGGGAUGAAGUAUUUAGGUAUGUAAACCAUUGUCAGUGGGGACGAAACAAAUGACGGUACCCACAGAGGAAGCAUCGGCUAACUACGUGCCAGCAGCCGCGGUAAUACGUAGGAUGCAAGCGUUGUUCGGAAUUACUGGGCGUAAAGAGUACGUAGGCGGUAUGGUAAGUCUGAUAUUAAAGACUGAGGCUUAACCUCAGGACUGUAUCGGAAACUGCCAAACUAGAGGACAAUAGAGGAAGUCGGAAUUCUCAGUGUAGCGGUGAAAUGCGUAGAUAUUGGGAAGAACACCAGUGGCGAAAGCGGACUUCUGGGUUGUUACUGACGCUGAGGUACGAAAGCGUGGGGAGCAAACGGGAUUAGAUACCCGGGUAGUCC